rnacentral:rRNA from 1 species
CCUACGGGGGGCAGCAGUGGGGAAUAUUGGGCAAUGGGCGAAAGCCUGACCCAGCAACGCCGCGUGAAGGAAGAAGGUUUUCGGAUUGUAAACUUCUGUCCUCAGGGAAGAAGGAAGUGACGGUACCUGAGGAGGAAGCCCCGGCUAACUACGUGCCAGCAGCCGCGGUAAUACGUAGGGGGCGAGCGUUGUCCGGAAUGACUGGGCGUAAAGGGCGCGUAGACGGCUGUCUAAGUCUGGAGUGAAAGUCCUGCUUUCAAGGUGGGAAUUGCUUUGGAGACUGGAUGGCUUGAGUGCGGA